rnacentral:rRNA from 1 species
UACGUAGGUGGCAAGCGUUGUCCGGAAUUACUGGGCGUAAAGCGCGUGUAGGCGGCUUGGCAAGUCGGGUGUGAAAGCCCUCAGCUCAACUGAGGAAGUGCGCCCGAAACUGCUGAGCUCGAGUGCCGGAGAGGAUGGCGGAAUUCCCCAAGUAGAGGUGAAAUUCGUAGAUAUGGGGAGGAACACCGGUGGCGAAGGCGGCCAUCUGGACGGUGACUGACGCUGAGACGCGAAAAGCGUGGGGAGCAAACAGG